rnacentral:rRNA from 1 species
CCUACGGUGGGCUGCAGUGGGGAAUAUUGGACAAUGGGCGAAAGCCUGAUCCAGCCAUGCCGCGUGUGUGAAGAAGGCCUUCGGGUUGUAAAGCACUUUCAGUGGGGAAGAAAGCCUUGGGGCUAAUACCCUCGAGGAAGGACAUCACCCACAGAAGAAGCACCGGCUAACUCCGUGCCAGCAGCCGCGGUAAUACGGAGGGUGCGAGCGUUAAUCGGAAUUACUGGGCGUAAAGCGCGCGUAGGCGGUCUGAUAAGCCGGUUGUGAAAGCCCCGGGCUCAACCUGGGAACGGCAUCCGGAACUGUCAGGCUAGAGUGCAGGAGAGGAAGGUAGAAUUCCCGGUGUAGCGGUGAAAUGCGUAGAGAUCGGGAGGAAUACCAGUGGCGAAGGCGGCCUUCUGGACUGACACUGACGCUGAGGUGUGAAAGCGUGGGUAGCAAACAGGAUUAGAUACCCCAGUAGUC